GAGCCUUCAAGAUUGCCAGUCGCCUCUUUCUUGGCGCUGCAUUGGUCUCAUCACGCUUGAUAAUGGAGUCUAGAACCUUCAGAGCAUCAUCGUAUCUGAAAAAGUAUCCAAAGUAGUGUAUUGCAAUCACUGUCAUUACCAGCUUCCAUAUGCAUAGCAUGAUAUUUGAGGACCCUCAAACUGCCUGGAAAUUCUUGCUCCAAUAAAUCUAUGCAUUCCUUGGCAACUGAUAAGCGGUUGCAGUCUAGAGCAGCUACGCAUACUUGUUCCAGAACUAAAUACUCUAAAAAAAUAAUUGAAUAUUAUGUAAGUACCUCAGAUCAGUAUACCUUUAUGAAAGUAUGAUAUUUUCCUAUUGAUUAAAGUCUCUAGAUUUCAGAAAAUUCUAACUCAUUAAUUGCAAAAAGUAGGUAUACGCAGGAAUUACUUGCAUCUUAGUCAUUAUACAAUUAAAAAUUACGUGAAGCAUG